UACAGAGGUCCCAAGCGUUGUUCGGAUUCACUGGGCGUAAAGGGUGCGUAGGUGGUGGGGUAAGUCUGAUGUGAAAUCUUCGAGCUUAACUCGGAAAUGGCAUUGGAUACUACUCUGCUAGAGGUUUGGAGGGGGGACUGGAAUUCUCGGUGUAGCAGUGAAAUGCGUAGAUAUCGAGAGGAACACCAGUGGCGAAGGCGAGUCCCUGGACACUUCCUGACACUGAGGCACGAAAGCUAGGGGAGCAAACAGG
rnacentral:rRNA from 1 species